rnacentral:rRNA from 1 species
GAUGAACGCUGGCGGCGUGCCUAAUACAUGCAAGUCGAGCGAACAGACGAGGAGCUUGCUCCUCUGACGUUAGCGGCGGACGGGUGAGUAACACGUGGAUAACCUACCUAUAAGACUUGGAUAACUUCGGGAAACCGGAGCUAAUACCGGAUAAUAUAUUGAACCGCAUGGUUCAAUAGUGAAAGACGGUUUUGCUGUCACUUAUAGAUGGAUCCGCGCCGCAUUAGCUAGUUGGUAAGGUAACGGCUUACCAAGGCAACGAUGCGUAGCCGACCUGAGAGGGUGAUCGGCCACACUGGAACUGAGACACGGUCCAGACUCCUACGGGAGGCAGCAGUAGGGAAUCUUGCGCAAUGGGCGAAAGCCUGACGGAGCAACGCCGCGUGAGUGAUGAAGGUCUUCGGAUCGUAAAACUCUGUUAUUAGGGAAGAACAAAUGUGUAAGUAACUAUGCACGUCUUGACGGUACCUAAUCAGAAAGCCACGGCUAACUACGUG